UUUUGGAGUUUUUUUUAACCAGACAGAGAAGCCCUUUGGAAAUAAGGAAAGUUGUAAACUUUUUUUUCCUGAUCCUAAAUCACCACAGUAAGACAUCUGGGCAAAAGGGACAGAAGUGAAGCGGGAGGUGAAUAUCCAUGAUGAGUUUCUCUUCUUUAAGAGAAAAGUAUGCUUCUCCCCAGCCCCUCGCUGCAUUUCCCACAUAAAGUGUGCUAGGGCACAAUUUGCUGUCAGAUAUAAAGAAAAUUAGAGUCCCGAAUAGUCUAACACAAACCUGCAGGGAGGUUCAGAGGCAAAUACUUCCGAGACUUCUCUAGACAGAGGACAACAACAGACAUGAAGAGUCAGGGUCCUGGAAAAAGAUGGUCCCAUAGUGAUGAGAGCAUGUUCAGGUGUGCCCGGAGGUCCUCACUAGGUGAGGACAAUCUGUAAAGAAUUGGUUUCAAGACAGGAAGGAAUCCAAGAAGGCCUUUGUGGCUGUCUGCCAGGGAUAUUGUUCUAGGAUCCACUAAAUCCAAUAAGCAUGAGUGUACUCCCUUCUGAUCAUAAGGAAUCAAUGGUACUCCCACAAUCAACCCCCUGCAGGGCUAACCACUGGGUACCAUGAUGGGCACCAGGAGGCUGUGCUUCCUCUGGAUGGUUUAGAUGGCCUCAUGUGCAAAGAAGCACAGUAAGGAGACCCACGAAUGCUCUUUAAAUGUUUUCCAAAGGAGCAAGACUCACACUGCUCCCAAGGCUCAGUUCCAAUGACCUUGUCAAAAGGACCAAGGGCAAAGGAUUGCUGGGAAAUCAACUCUCGUUGGAACACAAAGCAGUGUUCUGGAAAGAUCAAGACAUCAAGCAUGGUUCUUCCGGCCUCUGUGUGGUGGUGUUUUCAUAUUGGUCUCCUUUGCUCGGUGUAAUCUGAGAGAAAUGUGGCUCACUGGGAGAGCAAAGAAGCAAUGGCUAAAAUACCAAAGUUGGCAUGUGUCCUUUUUUAAAGAAAAAUGCAUAUAUUUUUAAAUAAAAUGUUUAUUUUAAAGAGAUGUAAACAUUUUUUUGACCAGAUAAUGACGAUGCCUGGCUGUGAUGUUCUUUAUGUGUAUUGCUUCCUGUUCUCCUCUCAGCAGCUGAAGAAGGGGUACCACUGUGAUCCCCAUCUUCCAGAUAAAGAAACUGAGGCCAAG
rnacentral:lncRNA from 1 species